UGUGGAAUUGCUGGGUUGUAUGAUAUGUUUAGCUUUUUGAGGAAUUGCCAAGCUGUUUUCCACAGUGCCUGUACCAUUUUACAUUCCCAUCAGCAAU
rnacentral:pre_miRNA from 3 species